rnacentral:lncRNA from 10 species
UCACAGUGGCGCGCCGUUCCGAGCAAUGAGACUGCAGGCACAGGACACUGAAGAAAAACGGAAUAAAUUUUUUUCUUUUUUUUUUAAUUGAAAAGAAGUAGAAAUCUGUCUUCUAACUCUAAGGCCUUGGGAGAUGAAGGAUCCGUGAUUCAAAGGCAGAAAUAGAUGGAGUCUUGCUGUGUUCUCCAGGAUUGAGUACAGUGGCUUAUUCACAGAUGUGAUCAUACUACACUACAGCCUCAAACUCCCGGGGUCAAGCAGUCCUCCUGCUUCAGCCUCCUGAGGAGCUGGGACUACAGGCCCACAUCACCAUGCCCACUAGAUUCACAGUCAUUUUGCUUGUGGAAGGUCUUGCCUCAAUGUUGAUAGGUGCUGACUGAUCAGGGUCAGGUUGCUGACUGAUCAGAAUGGUAGUUUCUGAAUGUUGGGAAUGGCUAUGGCAAUUUCUUAAAAUAAGACAACAAUGAAGUUUGCUGCAUUGAUUGACUCCCUUUCACAAAGGAUUUCUCCAUAUCAUGCAAUGCUGUUUGAUAGCAUUUUACCCAUAGUAGAACUUCUUUCAAAAUUGGAGUCAAUUCUCUCAAACCUUGUCUCUGCUUGGUCAACUAAGUUUAUGCACUAUUCCACAUCCUUUGUUGUCAUUUCAACAAUAUUUACAGAGUCUUCACCAUGAAUAGAUUCCUUUUCAAACAACCACUUUCUUUGCUCAGCCAUAAGAAGCAACUCUUCACCCAUUCAAGUUUUAUCAUGAGAUUGCAGCAAUUCAGUCACAUCAAAUUCCACUUCUAAUUCUAGUUGUUUUUCUAUUUCCACCACAUCUGCAGGUACUUUCUCCACAGAAAUUUCAAACCUCUCAAAGUCAUCCGUGAGGGUUGGAAUCAACUUCCAAAUUUCUGUGAAUGUUGAUAUUUUGACCUCCUCCUAAUCACAAAUGUUCUUAAUGGCAUCUAGAAUGGUGAAUCUUUUCCAGAAGGUUUUCUAUGUGCUUUGCCCAGUUCCAUCAGAAGAAUCACUGUCUGUGGUAGCUCUAGCCUUAUUAAAUGUAUAUUUUAAAUAAUAACACCUAAAAAUCAAAAUGACUCCUUGAUCCAUGGGCUGUAGAAUAGACAUUGUGUUAGCAGUCAUGAAAACAAGAUUAAUCUCCUCAUAUAGCACCAUUAUAGCUCUUGGGUGACCACGUGCAUUGUCAAUGACCAGUAAUAUUUUGAAAGGACACCUUUUUUUUUGAGCAGUAGGUCUCAACAGUGGACUUAAAAUAUUCAGAAAGCUGUGUUGUAAACAGAUGUGCUGCCAGCUAGGUAUCGUUGUUCCAUUUAUAGAGCACUGGUAGAGCAGAUUUAGCAUAAUUUGUCAGGACCCUAGGAUUUUUGGAAUGGUAAAUGGGCACUGGCUUCAACUUCAAGUAACCAACUGCAUUAACUCCUAACAAGAAGAGUCAGCCUGUCCUUGAAAGUAUGAAAACAGGCAUGGACUUCUCCUCUCUAGCUAUGAAAGUCUUAGAUGGCAUCUUCUUCCAAUAGAAGUUGUUUCAUGUACAUUGAAAAUCUGUUGUUUGGUGUAGCCACCCUCUUCGAUGAUCUUAGCUAGAUCUUCUGGAUAACUUGCUACAGUUUCUACAUCAGCACUUGUUGCCUUACCUUACACUUUCAUGUUAAGGAGAUAGCUUCUUUCCUUAAACCACAGGAACGAACCUCUGCUAUCUUCUAGAUUUUCUUGGGCAACUUCCUUACUUCUUUCAGCUUUCAUAGAACUGAAUAGUGUUAGGAUCUUGCUCUGGGUUAGGUUUUGGCUUAAGGGAAUGUGGUAGCUGGUUUGAUUUAUUUAGACCACUAAAACUUUCUUCAUAUCAGCAUUAAGGCUGGUUUGCUUUAUUAUCAUUUAUGUGUUCACUGGAGUAGCACUUUAAAUUUCCUCCAAGCUUGUUUGCUUUUCACUCACAGUGUGGCUGUUUGGUGCCAAGAGGCCUAGCUUCCCAGUCUUGGCUUUCAACAUGCCUUCCUCACUAAGCAUAGUCAUUUCUAGCUAUUUAUUUAAAGUUAGAGAUGUGCAACUCUUCUUUCACUUGAACACUUAGAGGCUAUUGUAGGGUUAUUACUUGGCUUAAUUGCAAUAUUGUUGUGUCUGGAGGAAUAGAGAGGCCUGGGGACACAAAGAGAAAUGGGGAACAGCUGGUCACUGGAGCAGUGAGAACACACGCAACAUUUAUUGAUUAAAUUCGCUGUUUUAUGGGCUCGGUUCAUGGUGCUCCAAAACAAUUAUAAUAGUAACAUCAAACAUCACUGUUCACAGGUCACCAUAACAGAUAUAAUGAUAAUGAUAAUAAUAAUAAUGUUUGAAAUAUUGCAAGAAUUACCAAAAUGUGACUCAGAGAAACAAUAAAGUGAGCACAUGCUGUUGGAAAAAUGGUACUGAUAGACUUGAUCCAUGCAGGGUUGCCACAAACGAUUAAUUUGCAAAAAAAACAAACAAAAGAACAUGCAGUAUCUGUGAAGCACAAUAAAGCAUACUGCAAAUAAAAUGUGUGCCUGUCCUGUAUUAACUUUGUUACUAUUUAAUCUAGCAUUUCCCAAAAUGUGUUUCUUGGAAUACAACUAGUCUUAUGAUUCCCCUAACCUGAACUGGUUCUCUGGGAAUGCACCCACAGGAGGAUAGGUCCUUGGGUGAUCUUGGCCAAUCCAGCUCUCCCUGCAACUUGUAGUUCUCAGAAUAACCGAGAAUGCAACUUUCUGAGAUAGAGAGGUGAUGUCCAGAAUAAUCCAUAUUGUGUCCUUGUUCCUCCCAGAACAGGGUGUACUGCAGCGCUUGUUCUCAGUGAUCCUAGUGCCACCUAGAGUAUAAAACCCAGAGCACAGUGCUUUCAGUGUCCCUCAGCUGCAGUGGAAUGUGGAGCACACACAGAUAAGACCCUUUCCACACUCAGCAGCUUUCUUGAGCCUUAGAGGACUGGCUUGCUGUGGAUCCUAGGCUUCUAUUUAUUCCUGCUGCUCAUCUAUCUGUGCAUAGUAAAUCUUUGUCUAGCCUGUGUGAGUGUUCUGUCUCUCUCACCAGACUCAUGCGAUUGGUAGAGAACCUUUGCGACAAUUUUGGGAGACAUGUAAAAUAUAUCCUUGGUGAAAAAUCCCAAAAUAUAUUUGCAUAUUAAGUGUUUAGAGAAGGUUUUCUGUACCUAUUACUUAAACCUAUUGAACUUUUCUAUAGUCCAGUACUUCUUGAAGUGUCAACUUAGCCAAUUCCCAUUUUCUGUGAGUUGCUUACUCCUCUGUUCACCCACAGGAGGGAUUCCUAAAGCUGUACCUAUUCUGUGGGGCUUUACCUCUACCUGGUCUCAGUUUAUUGGAUUAAGGUUGAACACCUAAACCAAAGAGACCCAAUUAAUAAGCUGAAGUAAAGAGCAUCAUGUUCUCUUUGGACACUGGACAGAUGGAUGUUGAUGAGCUUGUGUGCAGCAGUUCUACUGGAAGUAUGUACAAGGGGCUCAGCCAGCCAAUUUGGACGGUGUAUGUGAUAAGCAGAGAAAGGCAGCAGUCUGCAGAGACUGCAGAAUGAAAAAAAAAAAAAAAAAAAAAAAGCAGAAACCCAGAGAGAAAUCAGACAAAAGACCAGGUGGUGGGCAGGGGUCUGGGGAUUAUCCAAGCUUAAAAUUCAGGGUCUCUAAACUUGAACAGCCUGAUUUCAAAGCUGUGGGCCUA